rnacentral:rRNA from 1 species
CAGCAGCUCAAAUUUGAAAUCUGACCCUUUCAGGGUCCGAGUUGUAAUUUGCAGAGGAUGCUUCGGGUUCGGCGCCGAUCUAAGUUCCUUGGACAGGACGUCAUAGAGGGUGAGAAUCCCGUAUGUGACCGGCCACCACGCCCGUGUGAAGCUCCUUCGACGAGUCGAGUUGUUUGGGAAUGCAGCUCAAAAUGGGUGGUAAAUUUCAUCUAAAGCUAAAUACUGGCCAGAGACCGAUAGCGCACAAGUAGAGUGAUCGAAAGAUGAAAAGCACUUUGGAAAGAGAGUCAAACAGUACGUGAAAUUGUUGAAAGGGAAGCGCUUGCAACCAGACUUGCCCGCGGGUGAUCAACCGGUAUUCUCUUACCGGUGCACUCGCCUGCGGUCAGGCCAGCAUCGGUUCGGGCGGCUGGACAAAGUCCACCGGAAUGUAGCUCCUUUCGGGGAGUGUUAUAGCCGGAGGUGCCAUGCAGCCUGCCCGGACCGAGGACCGCGCUUCGGCUAGGAUGCUGGCGUAAUGGUUGUAAGCGACCCGUCUUGAAACACGGACCAAGGAGUCUAACAUCUAUGCGAGUGUUUGGGUGUCAAACCCAUGCGCGUAAUGAAAGUGAACGGAGGUGGGAACCCUCAAGGGUGCACCAUCGACCGAUCCUGAUGUCUUCGGAUGGAUUUGAGUAAGAGCAUAGCUGUUGGGACCCGAAAGAUGGUGAACUAUGCCUGAAUAGGGUGAAGCCAGAGGAAACUCUGGUGGAGGCUCGCAGCGGUUCUGACGUGCAAAUCGAUCGUCAAAUUUGGGUAUAGGGGCGAAAGACUAAUCGAACCAUCUGCUACUAGAUGGCAUACGGGCCCGUGUGCCCCAGUAGUCCCCGCACGGCGGGGGCGACAUCGUCGGUCUCUUCGGGGACGCCUCCGGGUUACCCGCAGUGAGCCUCGGGCUCAUCCACAGACUAAGUGGCGGUGGCCGUGCCCCGGAGCACGGUUAGGAUAUAGCCGAUCCACCC